UGAUGUUAUGAAUAAUGCAAAACAAUACAAAAUGCCAAUCUUUAUUUUGUUUACCAAUGAAUAUUUCAAACUUAAUUUCCAAAAACAAAGCUGACCAGCCGCUUUCACGAUUUACACGAAACUGAAAUAUAAAAUCUGCGAAUUGCCUGCUGCUAGCAGCUCUCGAUGUUACCCUCAUCGACGACGUCGUCGCUAUGGUUGUUGCUGUUGUGUUGUUGUAGCUGCUCUGGCGCAGUCCAUUGAGACUCGGGUGUGAGAGCGGUGGCCAAUUGUCUUCUUCGUAUAUCACCAAGCGCAGUGCCAGUCGACAAACGUACAAAAACAAAGACAGCUGAACUUUGUUUUUGAUGAUCUUCUGUUCUUUUGCUUCUUUUUAGCGGUGCGAAACACAAAAAAUGGUACCUUGCUCAUCAUACAGAUUCGUUAUUCUCCUUCGCACACUAUCGAGAUCAGUCUGACACGUUCGAACAAAUGCAUGUUGUUGUUAAUGCUCUUUAAAAAAAUCACAAGAUAUGAUCAGAAGGCAAGACGCGUCGGGGGCGUCAAAUAUAGAUGUAUCUAUAGAAUAUAUGCAAGGGCAAACAUAUGUAAAGUGUAAUACCGGAAACUAAAUUAAAUAAAUGCUAUUCCAUUGGUUAAUUGGCAUGGUAUAAAAUAAAACAUAUGAACAUAGCCUGCUAACACAACACAGGGGAUUCCUGCAAGUCGAGGUAGUAGAUUGGUGCUAGAGCUUAUUGGCUCUUAGGCAUGGAGACCCCUACCAAUGUGUUUUAUAGGGACAUUUUACAUGGGCCUGUCAUAGGAAGGCGGUAAUUGACAUGUCUAGCUUUAGAGAUGUUGAUGCUGAUUUCAAUGGCCAUCAUAAUAACCCUUCACAAGGUUAACGUUUAAUUAAUUUACUAGGACAAGGUCGCCUUGGUGCAUCUGUAAUUUUUUAAUGAAUUCUAUUAUAACUUAUGCAGGCAUACAUAUGUGUCAUCUGCAGCUACGCAUGCACCUUA